UACGGGGGGGGCAAGCGUUGUUCGGAAUUACUGGGCGUAAAGGGCUCGUAGGCGGCCAACUAAGUCAUACGUGAAAUCCCUCGGCUUAACCGGGGAACUGCGUCUGAUACUGGAUGGCUUGAGUUCGGGAGAGGGAUGCGGAAUUCCAGGUGUAGCGGUGGAAUGCGUAGAUAUCUGGAGGAACACCGGUGGCGAAGGCGGCAUCCUGGACCGAUACUGACGCUGAUGGGCGAAAGCCAGGGGAGCAAACGGG
rnacentral:rRNA from 1 species